GGUACUACUUCUAAGAUACUGAAGGAAGAAAUGGUUUACCAGUAGAACAGAAGUACCUUGGAAAUUCUUAUCUGAAAUGGAGAGGCUUAUUACAACAGCAUCUAAGAGUUAGCAGCAGAAGUCGAACACAACAGACAUCUCUAAAGAAAUUCUACUGACAGAAAAUAUAGUGAAAUGACCCAUCAGUAGAAUGAGAACAACUUGCUUCCAAAUGAAACAGAAACCAUACUGGAAUCUUUUGCUGAGAAAGAAGCCAUCAUAUUUUGUUUUUAUUCAUCUUCAUUGCACUAUUAAUAAAAAUUUACAGCUG